rnacentral:rRNA from 1 species
GUCUACGGCCAUGCCACCCUGAACGUGCCCGAUCCCGUCUGAUCUCGGAAGCUAAGCAGGGUCGGGCCUGGGUAGUACUUGGAUGGGAGACCACCUAGGAAGACCAGGUGCUGUAGGCG